AGUGAACGCUGGCGGUAGGCCUAACACAUGCAAGUCGAACGGCAGCACAGUAAGAGCUUGCUCUUACGGGUGGCGAGUGGCGGACGGGUGAGGAAUACAUCGGAAUCUACUUUUUCGUGGGGGAUAACGUAGGGAAACUUACGCUAAUACCGCAUACGACCUACGGGUGAAAGCAGGGGAUCUUCUGACCUUGCGCGAUUGAAUGAGCCGAUGUCGGAUUAGCUAGUUGGCGGGGUAAAGGCCCACCAAGGCGACGAUCCGUAGCUGGUCUGAGAGGAUGAUCAGCCACACUGGAACUGAGACACGGUCCAGACUCCUACGGGAGGCAGCAGUGGGGAAUAUUGGACAAUGGGCGCAAGCCUGAUCCAGCCAUACCGCGUGGGUGAAGAAGGCCUUCGGGUUGUAAGGCCCUUUUGUUGGGAAAGAAAAGCAGCAGGUUAAUACCCCGCUGUUCUGACGGUACCCAAAGAAUAAGCACCGGCUAACUUCGUG
rnacentral:rRNA from 1 species